GACGAACGCUGGCGGCGUGCUUAACACAUGCAAGUCGAACGGAAAGGCCCUGCUUGCAGGGUGCUCGAGUGGCGAACGGGUGAGUAACACGUGGGUGAUCUGCCCCUUACUUUGGGAUAAGCCUGGGAAACUGGGUCUAAUACUGGAUAGGACCAUGCUGUAGGUGGUGUGGUGGAAAGAUUUUUUCGGUAAGGGAUGAGCUCGCGGCCUAUCAGCUUGUUGGUGGGGUAAUGGCCUACAAAGGCGUCGACGGGUAGCCGGCCUGAGAGGGUGGACGGCCACAUUGGGACUGAGAUACGGCCAAGACUCCGACGGGAAGCAGCAGUGGGGAAUAUUGCACAAUGGGAGCAAGCCUGAGGCAGCGACGCCGGGGGGGGGAUGACGACCUUCGGGUUGUAAACGCCUUUCAGCCAUGACGAAGCCUCUUUUGGGGUGACGGUAGUGGUAGAAGAAGCACCGGCUAACUACGUG
rnacentral:rRNA from 1 species